GCCUUGUAGUGCUUAGUUGGUAGUGCGUCUGCCUUGUAAGCGCUAGGCCGCGGGUUCGAUUCCCGCCCGGGGCG
rfam:Asian citrus Psyllid, Diaphorina citri - Florida Strain, whole genome shotgun sequence.